rnacentral:rRNA from 1 species
AUUGAACGCUGGCGGCAUGCCUAACACAUGCAAGUCGAACGGCAGCACGACCUAGCUUGCUAGGUUGGUGGCGAGUGGCGCACGGGUGAGUAAUGCGUAGGAAUAUACCUUAAAGUGGGGACAACCUGGGGAAACUCAGGCUAAUACCGUAUGAGCUCUAAGGAGGAAAGCUGGGGACCUUUCGGGGCCUGGCGCUUUAAGAAUAGCUUACGUCCGAUUAGUUAGUUGGUGGGGUAAAGGCUUACCAAGACGAUGAUCGGUAGCUGGUCUGAGAGGAUGAUCAGCCACACUGGGACUGAGACACGGCCCAGACUCCUACGGGAGGCAGCAGUGGGGAAUAUUGGACAAUGGGGGAAACCCUGAUCCAGCGAUGCCGCGUGUGUGAAGAAGGCCUGCGGGUUGUAAAGCACUUUCGGUGGGGAGGAGGACUUAUAGGUUAAGAGCUAAUGAGUUGGACGUUACCCACAUAAGAAGCACCGGCUAACUCCGUGCCAGCCGCCGCGGUAA